rnacentral:rRNA from 1 species
GGACGAACGCUGGCGGCACGCUUAACACAUGCAAGUCGAACGGAGUUUAGAGAGCUUGCUUUUAAACUUAGUGGCGGACGGGUGAGUAACACGUGAGCAAUCUGCCUUCAGAGGGGGAUAGCAGUUGGAAACGACUGAUAAUACCGCAUAAUAUAGUAGGAUCGCAUGAUUUAACUAUCAAAGAUUUAUCGCUGAAAAGAUGAGCUCGCGUCUGAUUAGAUAGUUGGUGAGGUAACGGCUCACCAAGUCGACGAUCAGUAGCCGGACUGAGAGGUUGAACGGCCACAUUGGGACUGAGACACGGCCCAGACUCCUACGGGAGGCAGCAGUGGGGAAUAUUGCACAAUGGGCGCAAGCCUGAUGCAGCGAUGCCGCGUGAGGGAAGAAGGUUUUAGGAUUGUAAACCUCUGUCUUCAGGGACGAUAAUGACGGUACCUGAGGAGGAAGCUCCGGCUAACUACGUGCCAGCCGCAGC